rnacentral:rRNA from 1 species
GUACUCAGUUCGGAUUGCAGGCUGCAACCCGCCUGCAUGAAGCCGGAAUCGCUAGUAAUCGCAGAUCAGAAUGCUGCGGUGAAUACGUUCCCGGGUCUUGUACACACCGCCCGUCACACCAUGGGAGUCGAUAACGCCCGAAGUCAGUGACCCAACCGAGAGGAGGGAGCUGCCGAAGGCGGGAUGGAUAACUGGGGUGAAGUCGUAACAAGGUACC